rnacentral:rRNA from 1 species
GACAGAGGUGCCGAGCGUUAGGCGGAAUCACUGGGCUUAAAGCGUGUGUAGGCGGGUCGUUAAGUGUCUUGUGAAAUCCCACGGCUCACCCGUGGAACUGCUGGGCAUACUGGCGAUCUUGGGCCAACUAGGGGCAACUGGAACAAGCGGUGGAGCGGUGAAAUGCGUAGAUAUCGCUUGGAACGCCAACGGUGAAAACAGGUUGCUGGGGUUGUGCCGACGCUGAGACACGAAAGCCAGGGGAGCAAACGGG